rnacentral:tRNA from 1 species
GGUCGGUUGGCCGAGUGGCUAGGCAGAGGUCUGCAAAACCUCCUAUCCCGAAAGCUUUCGGGAUUCGAAUCCGCUACCGACCG